rnacentral:rRNA from 6 species
GGGACCCGUCUUGAAACACGGACCAAGGAGUCUAGCAUGUGCGCGAGUCAUUGGGACUCUUAACGAAACCUAAAGGCGUAAUGAAAGUGAAGGUUCGCCUAGCGCGAACCGAGGGAGGAUGGACGGUCGUCAGUGGCCGUCCCGCACUCCCUGGGCGUCUCAUUCUCAUUGCGAGAAGAGGCGCACCAAGAGCGUACACGCUGGGACCCGAAAGAUGGUGAACUAUGCCUGGUCAGGACGAAGUCAGGGGAAACCCUGAUGGAGGUCCGUAGCGAUUCUGACGUGCAAAUCGAUCGUCGGAACUGGGUAUAGGGGCGAAAGACUAAUCGAACCAUCUAGUAGCUGGUUCCCUCCGAAGUUUCCCUCAGGAUAGCUGGCGCUCGCUUCUCGCGAGUCUCAUUCGGUAAAGCGAAUGAUUAGAGGCAUUGGGGUCGAAACGGCCUCAACCUAUUCUCAAACUUUAAAUGGGUGAGAUCUCCGGCUUGCUUGAACUGUGAAGCCGCGAGAUAUCGGAUCAGAGUGCCAAGUGGGCCACUUUUGGUAAGCAGAACUGGCGCUGUGGGAUGAACCAAACGCUGAGUUAAAGCGCCUAAAUCGACGCUUAUGGGAUACCAUGAAAGGCGUUGGUAACUUAAGACAGCAGGACGGUGGCCAUGGAAGUCGGAAUCCGCUAAGGAGUGUGUAAA